rnacentral:rRNA from 1 species
UACGUAUGGAGCAAGCGUUAUCCGGAUUUACUGGGUGUAAAGGGAGCGCAGGCGGUCUGGCAAGUCUGAUGUGAAAGGCCGGGGCUCAACUCCGGGACUGCAUUGGAAACUGUCAGACUGGAGUGUCGGAGAGGUAAGCGGAAUUCCUAGUGUAGCGGUGAAAUGCGUAGAUAUUAGGAGGAACACCAGUGGCGAAGGCGGCUUACUGGACGAUGACUGACGCUGAGGCUCGAAAGCGUGGGGAGCAAACAGG